ACGGAAAGACAAAACAAAACAAUCGGCUAGUAGGGAGGAUUAACAUGGCAAGAUGGCAUUCACCCAUGAAAUUAAUUAGGAGCAAUCUGAAUACUCUGCAUGGAUGGGAUGCCGACCCUGCUUACAGAGCCUUAACCAAGAAUUCCGUUGUUCUCUAGAAUGAAGAAGAGACAGCUAUUUUUUCCCUCUGAAUCAAUUACUUUCGCCCCUAAGGCUGGCUUUGUGUUUUGUUUACUGAAUUCCUCAUGACGUACCUGUCUUCCCCUUUGAUCAUCCUGCUACAUGUACAACCCAGUCCCGUACGCCAUUUAAUAUCGUACCCGAUGACAAAAAGGCCACGUGGUUGGUCGUUCUAGUUUCCGUAAAUAAUAUCAAUUUGUUUGGGUAUAAAAAAACGCUGUAAAUUUAUUUAGCAGACAAGCUUUGAUAGCUCUUAACUCCAGUUACGGGCUUACGGCGUAGCCUACGAGCAGCAAUUUGGAAGUAGUUCACAUUUGUUUUGUGUGUAACCUACUUUGUUCUCCAUCCACAGCCAAUGUGAGCUCAGAAUCUCAUAACGAAGCCAGUCAACUUAAACAAAGAAAUUUCGAAGUAUACAACUUCCUACUUUCACAUCCGACAUUCAGUAGGAUUCAGCACUCUUUCUGUAAAAUGAAAAGAAGAUUUUGCUUCUGACCUCCAUGUAGCGUUUAGCGUGUCAUCACCAUAAGGCGUUUUCCAGUGAGCAAGGAUUUUGAUUGUGUAAGAAGCCAACAAUUCGUCUUCCUAAAGAGUCCAAGGCUUGUCACCUGUUUGAAAGCUAUUGCCGUGUUAUGGUGAAAAGAGUUUGGUAGAGUACACUGGAGCUAAAUAACGUGAACUAUUUUCAAGCCCAUACAGUAAAACUCCGUUAUUGCUUACUAGAUGCAGACCAAGUGUCCUCUCAAGAAUGUUGAAUUCUUUUGAAUUGAAGAACAUUUGGAAGUUCGAGUUUUAUUUUUCUUUAAACUCGAGUGCAACAGAGUUUAAAAAAUAUAACUUAAAAUCUUCCAAGCGACAAGAAAUAGGGCGGUUGUCAUUUUCAGAGUCACAGGGCUGUAACCGAAAAAAGAAAAAGAAAGAAGGUAGAAGGUAGAAGAAUAAAGCAGGAAGUACAAGUACUAGUACCAUAACCAGAGAGACAGAGCCAGUUCAGUAUUGUUUGACGCGUGCUUUACGCUUGUCGUCUGAUUCGUUACUGUGCCACUUUAUUGCAUAAUAUUCUUACCCAUACACGAGCGAUUGCACAUCAUGGCAAGCCGGAAGAAACUUUUAGCUGUAUUUACAGUAUUCAGCAACUUUUUUUUCGUUUCUCCAUUUUCGCUACCUCACGUAAAUCCAGGUUUAUUUGUGAUCCAAGGCGUAUCAACGUGUGGUCACGGGGAUGGCUACUGUCUACUAAGCAACUCUUGUUUAGUGGAUACAGAUUUUGAGGGUGACAUAGAAGGCGGUCAUUGUGAUGGCUUGAAACACGCUUUUAAUCCGCACGCGGAUUUUGUGUGUUGCAAAUAUAUGCCUGCUCCGACUACCCUUACGCCAACAACCGUCAAGACCAAACCUCCCCCUCCUCCUCCAUCUGAUGACAACACUUCCUACAAUUUAUUAGUUAUCCAAGGCGGUGUGUCGACGUGCGGUAACGGCGGUGGUUUCUGUCUGCUUAGUGAUUCUUGCUCAAUAGUUCAGAGCUUCGAAAGCGACACGGAAGGUGGCCACUGCAGUGGCUUGAAGGACGGGGUGAAUCCGCAGGCGGAAUUUGUGUGUUGCAAAUAUUUAGACACUGUAACUUCCACUACACCAUCACCCCCAACAGAAGAAUCCGUUUCCUACAACGUGGUAGAAAUCCAAGGCGGUGUAUCGACGUGUGGUCAAGGUAGUGGUUUCUGCAUUCUCAGUGAUUCUUGCUCGCUCGUUCAGGGCUUUGAAAACGACGCAAACAAUGGCCAUUGCAGUGGCGUGUCAAAAGAAUCCGAUCCAAAGGCGGCCUUUGUCUGUUGUCAAUACUCGCUCGCAUCCGCCACUAAUCCUACUACCACGCUAGCUACUGCACCUGUUUCUCUUGAUAAUGUAAUGGCUUCAAGUCCUGCGCCAACAACGGUCGACGAAUCAGUUUCUUACAAUGAAUUGGAGAUCCAAGGCGGAGUAUCAACUUGUGGACAUGGUGGUGGUUUUUGCCUGCUAAGUGGCUCCUGCGAAUUCGUUCCAGGCUUUCAAAGCGACACCAACGGCGGUCAUUGCGAAGGCGUGUCGAAAGCCAAUCCGAAUUCACGGGCAGCCUUCGUGUGUUGUAAGUAUGUGCCCCUAUCCAAAAUCCACAACCCAACAACUUCGAAGAAUCCCAAAGUUAAUUCGCCGGCCGCAAUUACACCUCCUUCUCCACCCGUCCUCACUUCCGUUACAUCUGGACAACGUGAAACGGUAAGUUCUGCUUCAUUCUAAAAAAAAGUCCUUCUCAAGGUUUUUCUAGCGGUUUAAGUAACUGAUUCUGAAUGGAAAUCUAAGAGAAACAGAUAUGGAAUGGGAAGUUUUCCAGAGAAAAUCGGUACCUCCACUGCUCGAACUUCAGCGACGGUGGUCGAUGCUAAGAAGACCUUAUCUCCCUUUGGCAUAUUUGCUAAUACCAACAAAAUACUAAGUGGUAUUCAACAUCUUAUUUAUGGU
rnacentral:misc_RNA from 1 species